rnacentral:rRNA from 1 species
UGGGGAAUAUUGCACAAUGGGCGAAAGCCUGAUGCAGCAACGCCGCGUGAGGGAAGACGGUUUUCGGAUUGUAAACCUCUGUUUUCGGUGACGAACAAAUGACGGUAACCGAGUAGGAAGCCACGGCUAACUACGUGCCAGCAGCCGCGGUAAUACGUAGGUGGCAAGCGUUAUCCGGAAUUACUGGGUGUAAAGGGAGCGCAGGCGGGAUAGCAAGUCAGCUGUGAAAACUAUGGGCUCAACCCAUAAACUGCAGUUGAAACUGUUAUUCUUGAGUGGAGUAGAGGC